GGGGGAGUGCAGGAUUCUGGUCCGUGUCUCCCUGCGCCUUGGGAUCCAGGGCCUGUGCUGGUAGAAUCACACUCUGGGGGCCAUGCAGUCCUCU
rnacentral:pre_miRNA from 1 species